UACAUAUAUCACUUAAACGAUGUACAUGUAUCAAUAAAUAGAUCAGGUACAUCAUAUGUCAAUAUCUACAUCAGUUGGAUUACAUGUUAAAAUAAUCACCAGGUUCUUUGCACAAUAAACACACAUAUCGUUCAUUGUACAACAUAACAUUCACCAGGUACAGUAUACAUUAAUGCAUACACAAAAUGCUUACAAUAUAUCCAACAAUGAAUGUAUCAUGUACUUUAAUCAGGCACAUCAUGCAGCAAUUUAUGUAUGCAUCACAUGCAUUAAUUAUACAGUUCUUUCUUUAACCUGCAUACAUAACACAUUUUAAACUGCCAAACCCAUGACACACAUGCUAAUUUGAAAACACACGAUGCAAAAAAAGAGUACAUUACACAUGCAAGUACUGCAUAAUCAUCAGUAAGAUUCACAGAUAAGGAGGCUAAAGGACAUUUGACAUUGGUGGUGUUGAAGUAGUCACGCUCCAGGUUUAUGUGAAUAAUCGUGGUAGGUAAUUAUUUCCUUAGUUUCUAUGAUAUACACGAGAGAAAUCAGUCCUACAACCUCGUUUUGAUUACAUUUGGUCGUUGCUACAUUGCAGCGUUUGGGAGCUUUACAGCAGUAACACACCGUUUAACUAUAGGAACAUUUGUUAGGUGACUCAUUUCACACAGAAUUAUAAAACUACUAUAGGAACAUUUGUUAGGUGACUCACUUCACACAGACUCACUUCACACAGAAUUAUAAAACUACUAUAGGAACAUUUAUUAGGUGACUCACUUCACACAGAAUUAUAAAACUACCACAGGAACAUUUAUUAGGUGACUCCCUUCAUAGAGAAUUAUAAAACUACUAUAGGAACAUUUAUUAGGUGACUCACCUCACACAAAAUUAUAAAACUACUAUAGGAAUAUUUAUUAGGUUACUCACCUCACAUAGAAUUAUAAAACUACUAUAGGAACAUUUAUUAGGUGACUCACUUCACACAUAAUUAUAAAACUACUAUAGGAACAUUUGUUAUGUGACUCAUUUCACACAUAAUUAUACAACUGCUAUAGGAACAUUUAUUAGGUUACUCACUUCACACAGAAUUAUAAAACUACCACAGGAACAUUUAUUAGGUGACUCCCUUCAUAGAGAAUUAUAAAACUACUAUAGGAACAUUUAUUAGGUGAUUCAGUUGACACAGAAUUAUAAAACUACUAUAGGAACAUUUGUUAUAUGACUCAUUUCACACAUAAUUAUAAAACUACUAUAGGUACAUUUAUUAGGUUAUUCUCGUUACACAGAAUUAUAAAACUACCAUAGGAACAUUUAUUAGGUGACUCCCUUCAUAGAGAAUUAUAAAACUACUAAAGGAAUAUUUAUUAGGUGACUCACUCAACACAGAAUAAUAAAACUACUAUAGGAUCAUUUAUUAGGUGAUUCAGUUGACACAGAAUUAUAAAACUACUAUAGGAAUAUUUGUUAGGUGAGUCACCUCACAUAGAAUUAUUAAACUACUAUAGGAACAUUUAUUAGGUGACUCACUUCACACAUAAUUAUAAAACUACUAUAGGAACAUUUAUUAGGUGAUUCAGUUGACACAGAAUUAUAAAACUACUAUAGGAACAUUUAUCAGGUGACUCACGUCACACAGAGAAUUAUAAAACUACUAUAGGAACAUUUAUUAGGUGACUCACUUCACACAGAAUUAUAAAACUACUAAAGGAACAUUUUAUAGGUGAUUCACUCCACACAGAGAUUUAGAAAACUGCUAUAGGAACAUUUAUUAGGUGAUUCAGUUGACACAGAAUUAUAAAACUACUAUAGGAACAUUUAUUAGGUGAUUCACUCCACGCAGAGAAUUAUAAAACUGCUAUAGGAACAUUUGUUAUGUGACUCACUUCACACAUAAUUAUAAAACUACUAUAGGAGUAUUUAUUAGGUGAUUCAGUUGACACAGAAUUAUAAAACUACUAUAGGAACAUUUAUUAGGUGAUUCACUCCACGCAGAGAAUUAGAAAACUACUAUGAUAACAUUAACAAUGCAUUUAACUUCACACAGGUCUGAAAAACUACUAUAUUAACCUUAAUUAGAAAAAAAAACUUCAAGCAGAUUUAGAAAACUACUAUAGAAACUUCAAUGGAGGAUUUACUAUACACAGAUUUGCAAAACUUAAGUAGAAACAUUCAUUAAGCGAUUCACUACACACAGGUUUAGAAAACUGAUGCAUUUUUGAAGAAAUAUCUUUUUUAUUACCACGUUUUCUUUCUCCCUAUCCCACACUAUGUAAACAGUGAUGAAAUACAUCAAAAGAGAACCUACUUGGAUAUCACCGGUUAUAUGUAACCAAUGAGGUAAUACGUAUGUCCUUUAAUUGACAAUCAACCACAGUUUAAUUAUUAUUGCAAACUCAUGCAUCAUUUUGGCAUAUGCGACUUCGAGAAAUUGGAAAGAACUAAAUUAUUGCUAUUUUAUCGUGGAAUAAAUUGAUUAAGUAUCAUCUUAACAUUACAUGGAUUAAGUGUUAUCGUAGAAUUUAUUUGAUUAAGUGUUAUCGUGACAUAACAUUGCUGUAUUGUGGCAUUACUUUGAUUAUGUUUUAUCGUAAAAUAACAUUGGUUAAGUUUAAUCGUAAAAUUCAUUUUAAUUAAUUGUUAUUGUAGCAUAAUAUUGUUUAAGAAUUAUCGUAACUUAUUAGCGUUAUUGUAAAAUUAUUAUGAUUUUUCGUUUUGUAACAUUACAAUAAUUUGAUAUUACGAUUGAUUUGUUGUUAUCUCAAUAAAACUAUAAUUGGUGUUAACGGAACAUUACUUUGGUUCGAUCUUAUGACAUUUUAUUUGUGCGUUGUUUUGUAACAUGACAAUGGUUUUGUGUUAUCGUAACAUAACUCCGACUUGUUGUUAUAAACAUAAUAUUGCUUUUGUUGUUAUGGUGACAAUGUUAUCAUCAAAUAUAAUGAUUUCUUGUAGCAUUACAAUGCAUUAAAGUUAUCAUCGUUUUUCAUGAACUUUGUUAAUUUGUAACAUUAUCAUGAAUUGAUAUUAUCAUUCCAUUGCGGAAAUUUCUGUUAUGUUCACUAAAAGAAUUAUAGCCUUGUCAAUGUGCAUAUAUUGAUUAUUUGAUUUAAAUUUGAUUUUGUUUUAUGACUGUAAUUGUACAAUAGGUAUUGCAUUUAAGUAUUUGAUAUAUGUUAUCAACGCGUCUAUUAUACGAUUUUGAGAAUUUAAAGAUUAGUUACAAAAUGAGCUUAUACAAAGGAAUAUAUUCUAUGUUUUAUAAUUUCAAAUGAAAUACGAUGGAAGUAACCUGUGAAAGUGAUUCAUAAAUGAUGUUUUCAAUGAUAUUGUUCACACAAUCAAGAAACAAUCAAAGAUCCUUUCAAUUAUAAAAAAUAACAUAUAUUUAGUAAAUGUUAGUAACUCAUAUACUAUGUUUUUGUUUCCGGUUGAUGUUUCC
rnacentral:lncRNA from 1 species